AGCUAGUUGGUAGGGUAAGAGCCUACCAAGGCGACGAUGGAUAGCCGGCCUGAGAGGGUGAUCGGCCACACUGGGACUGAGACACGGCCCAUACUCCUACGGGAGGCAGCAGCUAAGAAUCUUCCGCAAUGGGCGAAAGCCUGACGGAGCGACGCCGCGUGGACGAAGAAGGCCGAAAGGUUGUAAAGUCCUUUUCUUAGGGAAGAAUAAUGUAAAGAAUGGAAUGCUUUACAGAUGACAUUAACUGAGGAAUAAGCCCCGGCCAAUUACGUGCCAGCAGCCGCGGUAAUACGUGUGGGGCGAGCGUUGUUCGGAAUUAUUGGGCGUAAAGGGCGUGUAGGCGGUUUUAUAAGCCUGGUGUGAAAUCCCACAGCUCAACUGUGGAGACGCGCUGGGAACUGUAAGACUAGAGUUCAGGAGGGGAUGCUGGAAUUCCUGGUGUAGGGGUGAAAUCUGUAGAUAUCAGGAAGAACACCGAUGGCGAAGGCAAGCAUCUGGCCAUGGACUGACGCUGAGGCGCGAAAGCGUGGGGAGCGAACAGGAUUAGACACCCUGGUAGUCCACGCUGUAAACGAUGUGCACUGGGUGUAGGAGGCGUUGAGCUUUCUGUGCCGUAGCUAACGCGUUAAGUGCACCGCCUGGGGAGUACGCUCGCAAGGGUGAAACUCAAAGGAAUUGACGGGGGCCCGCACAAGCGGUGGAGCAUGUGGUUUAAUUCGAUACGCGAGGAACCUUACCAGGGCUUGACAUGUACUUGAAGGCUUAAGAGAUUAAGUCGACCUUUAGGGGACGGGUACACAGGUGCUGCAUGGUUGUCGUCAGCUCGUGUCGUGAGAUGUUGGGUUAAGUCCCGCAACGAGCGCAACCCUUACUGUCUGUUGCCAGCAGGCCUUCGGGCGCUGGGGACUCAGGCAGAACUGCCGGUGACAAACCGGAGGAAGGUGGGGAUGACGUCAAAUCAUCAUGGCCCUUAUGUCCUGGGCUACACACGUGCUACAAUGGCCGGUACAAAGCGUUGCAAGACGGUGACGUCCUCAGCAGAUCGCAAAAAGCCGGUCUCAGUUCGGAUUGGAGUCUGAAACCCGACUCCAUGAAGUUGGGAUCGCUAGUAAUCGCGCAUCAGAAUGGCGCGGUGAAUAUGUUCCCGGGCCUUGUACACACCGCCCGUCACACCACCCGAGUUGGGGGUACCCGAAGUCGCUAGUCUAACUUUUAGAGGACGGUGCCGAAGGUAUGCCUGGUAAGGGGGGUGAAGUCGAAGCAAGGUAGCCGUACCGGAAGGUGCGGCUG
rnacentral:rRNA from 1 species